GUUGAAGAGGGGUGUAAAACGACAUACAGGUGGUGCAGAGGAGAGAAGAAAAACAAGGCAAUAAAGCAAAAAGACAAGAAAAAUAAAAGUAAGGAAUGCAAUGGGAGAAAGGAACAGAAAUCACAUUUCUUUCCUCCCUGAGUCACUUCUGAGUCUUCAAGUAGACCAGAUGUCUCCAAGAACCACUCUACAGGGUGGCACGCCAAAAGUCGAGGAGAGGAGCAAGAAUCUCUCUCUAAACCAGUCACUGACCACCCUCCCGAGGUUACAAGAAGAAAUCCUGGACAGCCCAAGUCUAUUAAUAGUAUUCGAACAUCGUCGAAGAAAAGAAAUUUCAGAACAAGAUUAGGCAUUCUACUGAAACCUGAAGGGGAAAAACUAGCCAACACUUAGAGAAACAGAGAAGUUCCACAACCAUUUUGUGAUUACAAUGAGUGAAACUUGGGACUAAAUACUUUCAAUGUGAAUUAUGAUCAAUGACGAUCAAAUCUGUG
rnacentral:lncRNA from 1 species